rnacentral:lncRNA from 1 species
GUUGACCAAAAGACAGUCCCAGAAAACAACUCUGCACCCUCAAGAGCAUGAGCCUGAGCCUUUCACCAUGCAAGACGAAUGACCCUCGCUUUGAUACUUGGUGCCACCUCUAACAAAAAAAAAUUACAAUAAUAUGACCGUGAUUCACUUCCAGGAAGUAAUUUGGAUAUGUGCCGAUGAGGAAUGUCUGCCAGCCUGCAGUGCAUUUGUCUUUCUUCUGCCCACCACAGCAAAUUCAGGAUCAUCUUGCCUUUAAGUCCUCAAGAAACCUCCAGCCAAGUAGGCCGAACACUGUGUCCUCACGCUGGCAGUGGAAAAGCAAAAACCAAGACCCACUGUCCAGUCUGAACAGUCAAACCAUCUUCUGGAGUAUUUGGCAGAAAUUAUUUUCUUGGGCAUCAGAUAAGAAAUAAGCAAGAGAGACCAAUACUUCAUUCAGUUCAUGAUGAUUCUUACGGCAGAAAGAAAUCAGCACGAAAUAAAAGUGACAGUGGCUAAAACGUGUACGGUGAA